CCUACGGGAGACAGCAGUGGGGAAUAUUGCACAAUGGGCGAAACCCUGAUGCAGCCACGCCGCGUGAGUGAAGAAGUAUUUCUGUAUUUAAAGCUCUAUCAGCAGGGAAGAGAAUGACGGUACCUGACUAAGAAUCCCCGUCUAACUACGUGCCAGCAGCCGUGGUAAUACGUAGGGGGCAAGCGUUAUCCGGAUUUACUGGGUGUAAAGGGAGCGUAGACGGCUGUACAAGUCUGAAGGGAAAGCCCGUGGAUCAACCUCGGAACUGCUUGGGAAACUGUUAAGCUAGAGUACUGGAGGGGCAGGCGGAAUGCAUGGUGUAGCGGUGAAAUGCGUAGAUAUUAGGAGGAACACCAGUGGCGAAGGCGGCAUGCUGGACAGAAACUGACGUUGAGGCACGAAAGCGUGGGGAGCAAACAGGAUUAGAUACCCCAGUAGUC
rnacentral:rRNA from 1 species